AUGAUGCCACUUUUGUUGCCAAUUGGCAUAAACCCGUAGAUCCGAUCUUGUGGUGAAGUAUAAUGCACAAGCUCGCUUCUAUGGGUCUGUGUCCCUAUGGUAAUCUGACCAAAGUGUGUA
rnacentral:precursor_RNA from 11 species